rnacentral:rRNA from 1 species
UACAGAGGUCCCAAGCGUUGUUCGGAUUCACUGGGCGUAAAGGGUGCGUAGGUGGUGAGGUAAGUCGGAUGUGAAAUCUCCGAGCUCAACUCGGAAACUGCAUUGGAACUACCUUGCUCGAGGGUUGGAGGGGGGACUGGAAUGCUUGGUGUAGCAGUGAAAUGCGUAGAUAUCAAGCGGAACACCAGUGGCGAAGGCGGCCUUCUGGACAGUGACUGACGGCUGAGAUGCGAAAGCGUGGGGAGCAA